UUUUGGGACGAUUGAUAGAUUGAGAGCACUUUCUUGAUUCGGUGGAUGGUGGUGCAUGUCCGUUCUUAGUUGGUGGAGCGAUUUGUCUGGUAAAUUCCGAUAACAAACGAGACUCUAUCCUAUUAAAUAGGUGCGUGGUCCUCUGCACCUUGCACCCUUAGAGGGACAAGCAGCUCCUAGCCGCACAAAAAAAGACCAAGAACAGGUCUGUGAUGCCCUUACAU
rnacentral:rRNA from 1 species